UAGCAGCCGGAGAAAUAUUCCAAAUCCGUUUAAAGCCGGCAUAGACGUCGGCCGCAAAUGACCAAUACUUCAGAGACCGUUGCGGCAUCUCCCCCAAGUGUCGCGGCGGCCGGAGUGCCGAGGACCGCGCACUUCGCUUGACUCCUAAUGGUCUUGACCCGGAUUCCCCCGAACCCGG
rnacentral:sRNA from 1 species